UGAGGAAUAUUGCGCAAUGGGGGCAACCCUGACGCAGCAACGCCGCGUGAGUGAGGAAGGUUUUCGGACUGUAAAGCUCUGUCGAGCGGGAAGAAGUGUACCAUGGCUAAUAUCCAUGAUAUUUGACGGUACCGCUAGAGGAAGCACCGGCUAACUCCGUGCCAGCAGCCGCGGUAAUACGGGGGGUGCAAGCGUUGUUCGGAAUUAUUGGGCGUAAAGAGCGUGUAGGCGGCUGAGCAAGUCAGAUGUGAAAGCCCCGGGCUUAACCCGGGAAGUGCAUUUGAAACUGUUCGGCUUGAGUAGGGGAGAGGAAAGUGGAAUUCCUGGUGUAGAGGUGAAAUUCGUAGAUAUCAGGAGGAACACCGGCGGCGAAGGCGACUUUCUGGCCCUAUACUGACG
rnacentral:rRNA from 1 species